UUUCUCCGGCGUUCCCGGCACACUGCCGACCUCUUGGAACUUUGUGCAGGGUCCAUACAGCGUUGAGGACCCUCUAUUCAGGGCUAGCUGCAGCUGCGCCUCCAGAUUGACCUGCCUCAGCUGCUCGGUGAGAUCCUCCAUCCACCCCAUAGCAGCCCAGGCACCAGA